UACAAAAGAGGCAAGCUCCUACCGCUGGGGUUCAUAGACCCAAACACAGUUCAUGAAGUUACGGUUCGAGACUUCGCCAAGGACACAGAGGACAACAUCGUAAUGUUUUUAGAGAAGCAAGCAGACAAAGAGGAUAUAUUCUUUCCCUACAACUUCAAUUUCCAUUUUAUUCUCCUAAUCAUUGAUCUUCACCUUGGAGUCGUAAACGUCAUGGACUCGAAACGUACAGAAUAUGCGGAAUGGGCGGACAUGGCUGCCAUCCUCCAGAGGGCUUGGAAACGGUUCAUCAAUACUGUUCCGGGUGAAUGGAAACCGGAGCUUACAUUUAGAGAUUACCC